AUGGGCUUGCUGAGGGACCCUCCAAACCACUAUAUGUGUGUUCCUGCUGGAAUAAGUAAUCUGUAACUUUAGGUAUAUGGGAAUACUUGAUGUGCUGCAUAGAUCAGCUCAUGGAAUGUCAGUUAAAACCUCCCAACAGUGUUUAUCCAUCUUGUCAGCUUCCACCCCAGGUGAAAAAAAUAUAAUAAAUUCUGCCAACUACAGUCUUUUAUUGAGAGGAGUUUUAUGUUAAUUUGUGGUGAACAUUGUCCUUUCAGUUUCCACUGUGUUUUUCUCAUAUUCAUAGUUUUUCAAAUAUUCUAGAAGUUUUACUACCUUGGUAGCCGAAUUAUGGAUAAUUCAUUGCACUAUUUUUAGUGGUUUCUUUGCCCUCAAUGUGUAUACAAAAAUGAAUCUAUGGAGAUGUAUGGGUAUGCAUGAGAACUAUUAUUAUCUUUUAAGUGCCAGCAGCAGUGCUUUUCUCAUGGUCCAUUAAGGAAUUCAUAUCCUGACAACUUCACCUGAAAUGCUGAAGUCACAUACCAGAGUGAUGAGGAUCAAAAACCCUACAGAGGCAGGAAGAUGGAUGUCCUAUAAGGGGGUGAUGGUUUACUGACUAUGAAUGCUUUCAAAGACCUGCUUAAACAAAAGCUGUGAACCUAAAUCAGUUUGCCCUAUUAGAAGCUGGAGUGGCUCUGUGUUACUUUAAGAAGACUGUGAGAUGUAAUCACUGCAGGAGGUGAUUUUCCUUUGGUAGCUUCUGCCCCUUGGAGCUGCUGAGCUUGCUCAAAAGGCACAAGCUUCUAGACAUGGCUGUGUGUGGCAGACCAAGGCAGUACCAGAAAGAAAAAGGAAGCCUGAGGAUCAUUCAGAGACAUGGUGUGAUGUCCAGACCUCACAGGUGUUGGACAAGGACUUCCUGAAAAUCACACAGGACUGAACAGUGUUUGCUGCAAAUCAAGGACAAGUAAAAUCACACUUGGAAGAAGGGCUCUGCCUGCCAGAAAACAGCCAUUUGCUCAUGUUUUUAAUGUCCAUCUGUCCUGGUUUCAGUUAGGACAGAGUUAAUUUUCUUCCUAGUAGCUGGAAGGGUGCUAUGUUUUGGUUUAGGAUGAGAGGAGUGCUGAUGUUUUAAAACAUGCUGAUGUUUUAA